UUUUAGUGGCGGACGGGUGAGUAACGCGUGGGUAACCUGCCCUAUACAGGGGGAUAACAGUUGGAAACGACUGUUAAUACCGCAUAAGCGCACAGGAGCGCAUGCUCCGGUGUGAAAAACUCCGGUGGUAUAGGAUGGACCCGCGUCUGAUUAGCUGGUUGGCGGGGUAACGGCCCACCAAGGCGACGAUCAGUAGCCGGCCUGAGAGGGUGAACGGCCACAUUGGGACUGAGACACGGCCCAAACUCCUACGGGAGGCAGCAG
rnacentral:rRNA from 1 species